rnacentral:rRNA from 1 species
GAUGAACGCUAGCUACAGGCUUAACACAUGCAAGUCGCGGGGCAGCAUGGGGGUUGCUUGCAACCCCUGAUGGCGACCGGCGCACGGGUGAGUAACGCGUAUCCAACCUGCCCUUCACCACGGGAUAACCCGGCGAAAGUCGGACUAAUACCGUAUGUUGUCCAUUGACGGCAUCCGAUUUGGACGAAAGGCGUGUCGCUGAAAGGAUGGGGAUGCGUACGAUUAGCUUGAGGGCGGGGUAACGGCCCACCGUGGCUACGAUCGGUAGGGGUUCUGAGGGGAAGGUCCCCCACACUGGAACUGAGACACGGUCCAGACUCCUACGGGAGGCAGCAGUGAGGAAUAUUGGUCAAUGAGCGUAAGCCUGAACCAGCCAAGUAGCGUGCAGGAUGACGGCCCUAUGGGUUGUAAACUGCUUUUAUGCGGGGAUAAAGUGGCCCACGGGUGGGCUUUUGCAGGUACCGAAUGAAUAAGGACCGGCUAAUUCCGUG